rnacentral:tRNA from 1 species
GCCUUCGUGGUGUAACGGUCAGCGCACUCGUAAUCGAAAAGUCCGAGGUUCAAGUCCCGGCGAGGGCA